UCCGCUCCAAAAGCUGAGGAGACCCUUUGAUGAACCUCCGAACAAGAUAAGAGAACUAAACCCUCUUUGUCUCUGGCUACAACUCCGAUAGCCGCUUUAUUCUGUCCUUUUUCAUAUGCUGCAUCAAAAUUGAUUUUGACAAAGUUAUCCUCUGGUUUUUUCCAUUUUGUAACAGUAAAUGGAGUUUGUCUACUAUUUUGACCAACCGAUUCUAACUCUGAAAUGUAUCUGUUAACAAAUCUUCCUAUGUCUUUCCCAGAUUUACUCUCUUUAUUAUGCAGUCUGUUAUUCCUAUCACCCUAGAUGGCCCAUACAGCAACACAGAAGGGCAUUCACGAAAUAGGUGAUCCAUAGAUUCAGAUCCAGAUCCACACCGAGGACACACUGAAAAGUUUGUUAGUCUUCUAAGAAGCAUAUUAACCCGAGUUGCUAGGAAAUUCCAAGAGAUCUUCCAAACUGUAAUUUUUAUUUUUGAAUGAAGAUCAAGAAGCCAUAGCUUCCUGUAGAAGUCCUUAUAGUCAUCUUGUAAAGCAUAAGCUCUAGGAUUAUUUUCAGUGUUUUGUAAUAGUUUAUAGGCACUCCUGACUGUGAACUCACCCGACGCUUCAGCGCUCCAGACUUGGAAAUCAUCGUGUGGUUUUUCUGCCAGCGGAAUACUAAGAAUCUUCUCGGCAACAUCCUCCGGAAAGGUGAUAUCUGAGUGCAAUUACUCAACCCAUGCCCCAUUCUUCCACAACCAAAA